rnacentral:lncRNA from 1 species
CCUCCCAGAGGGCAGAGCCAUCCAUCAAAGCUGGGCAGGUCUCCAGCUCAGGUAACCACCGCACUUACACAAUUGUCCCUUACGAAAAGGCAGCGGGAUGACAGCUCAUUCACUAUCAUGAGAACAGCAUGGGGGAAACUGCCCCCAUGAUUCAAUUACCUUCACCUGGUCUGUCCCUUGACACAUGGGGACUGUGGGGAUUAUGGGGAUUACAAUUCAAGAUGAGAUUUGGGAGGGGACCAAAGCCUAACCAUAUCAUGGAAGUUUUAAAAAUC